CCAAUAGCGUAUAUUAAAGUUGUUGCAGUUAAAAAGCUCGUAGUUGAACCUUAGGCCCGUGCGGGCGGUCCGUCCUCUGGGCGAGCACUGCCUCGUCGCGGGUCUCACCUUCUGGCGAGCGUGGAUGCCAUUCACUUGGUGUCUGCGGGAACCAGGACCUUUACCUUGAAAAAAUUAGAGUGCUCAAAGCGGGCUCUUACGCUUGAAUACAUUAGCAUGGAAUAAUGAAAUAGGACGACGGUUCUAUUUUGUUGGUUUCCGGGACGGUCGUAAUGAUUAAUAGGGAUAGUUGGGGGCAUUCGUAUUCAAUUGUCAGAGGUGAAAUUCUUGGAUUUAUUGAAGACGGACUACUGCGAAAGCAUUUACCAAGGAUGUUUUCAUUAAUCAAGAACGAAAGUUGGGGGAUCGAAGACGAUCAGAUACCGUCGUAGUCUCAACCAUAAACUAUGCCGACUGGGAAUCGGGCGAUGUUAUUUUUCGUGACUCGCUCGGCGCCCCGAG
rnacentral:rRNA from 1 species